UACGAAGGGGGCUAGCGUUGCUCGGAAUGACUGGGCGUAAAGGGCGCGUAGGCGGUUUGUACAGUCAGAUGUGAAAUUCCCGGGCUCAACCUGGGGGCUGCAUUUGAUACGUAUGGACUUGAGUGGGGAAGAGGGUCGUGGAAUUCCCAGUGUAGAGGUGAAAUUCGUAGAUAUUGGGAAGAACACCGGUGGCGAAGGCGGCGACCUGGUCCUUGACUGACGUUGAGGCGCGAAAGCGUGGGGAGCAAACAGG
rnacentral:rRNA from 1 species